UGGUGGGUUGCCUUGUCAGGUUGAUUCCGGUAACGAACGAGACCUCAGCCUGCUAAAUAGUCACGUCCACCUCGGUGGAUGCCUGACUUCUUAGAGGGACUAUUGGCGUUUAGCCAAUGGAAGUGUGAGGCGAUAACA
rnacentral:rRNA from 1 species